rnacentral:tRNA from 1 species
GCCGCGAUGGCACAACCUGGUACUGCGCAAGCCUGGAAAGCUUGUUUCCGCAAGGAUCUCCCGGUUCAAAAAGCAAGUUACACUGUGCGAGUCGUGCUCAUGUGGGGUAUUCAUUUCAUUCAACCCCACGACGGCGCAUGAUAGUGUAACUCUUAACAUUACAUUGAAAAUCCGGGUCGCGGCG